rnacentral:sRNA from 1 species
AAUUUGUAAUUACGUUUAUUAAUAAAUUUAAUAGCCCAAUAAUACGCUAAUAUUCCAAUUUUCAAAUAUUAGUUUAUUUAUUAAAUUUAUUUAAAGUUAUUGCACGAAUAGUUUUAAAUACAGGUAUUAAAAUUAAUUUAAGUUAGGCAAUAUUUACGAUAUAAUAUUAAUUAGUUUUGCAAAUUUAUAAAAUACCAAUUAUCGGUGUUACAAAAUAAAACGACGUUAUUACUAAGCAAAUUAAUUUUAUAUGGUUAUAAAUUGCCAAUUUUUAAAAUAUUUUUAAAAAAAUAAAUUAUUUAUAUAUUGUUAUAUAAAAAAUAGUGAAAGAAUUUUCAAUUAUUUAAAAAAGCCCCAAUUUGGUAAAUAAAAAUAUCGUUAUAAAUAAUUUUACGCACUAAUAAUGGUUUAAAAUAAUAAAAUCCUUUAAAAUAUAUAAUAAAAUUUAAGUUUUAAUAUAUUUUGCUAGGGUAUAUUUACGGAUUAAUAAUAUUAUAUUAACAGAUUAUUUAUUGUUUAUUUUAUUUAAUUAAACUGAAAAAAAAAAUUCGGUUCCAAACAAAAAAUAAUUAUAUUGCAAAAAUUGAAAAUUAUAAAAAUAGUUUUUCAAAAAAGGCGUUGAAAUAUAUUUGCUAAUAUUAAGGCGGUUUAUUUUAUUAAUUUAAUUCGAAACAAAAUACCUCCGCAUUUGCCUAUAUAUUUUUUAUCAUUAAAAAAAUCGAUCUAAUUUAUUUUUUUCCUGAAAAAACCUAUAAUAUAAUUGUAUUUGCAAAUUUAACAAUUUUAAAACAAAUGUUCAAUUCUUUAAUUUUUAAAAGGAAUGGUAUUUUGAAAUUCUGCGUAAAUUAUCAAAUUUUGUCUUCUAUUACCAAAAAAUAGGUAUUUUUUAUUUGCAAUUUUAAAAAUUAUAAACGGCGUGCGAAAAUCGCCAAUACUUACCAAGUUAGAUGUUAAAAAUAUAUAUUUUAAAAUGCGUAUUAAAAUAAGGAAUAAUUAAAAAUUGGUUUAACCCCUUCGUUAUGAUUAUAUUUUGUCGCUUUUUUAAUAUUUCGGCGAUUUUUUAAAAUUAUAUAUAAAAAUAUUUGGGAAUUUCGUAAAUAAGUAUAAUAUUAUAUGGCGGGAAAAUAUUUUAAUUUAUUACCCUAAUUUAAAAGGUUUUGAAAAAUAUAUACGGGAAAUUGUAAAAAAUUUGAAAAAUGCAAAUCUUUACGGCCAAUAAUAUAAAUGCAAAUAUUAUAUAUAAAAAAUUAAGUUUUUAAUUUAUAUAAUAAAUAUUUAAAAAAAGUUUAUAAAUUUAUUUAAAACAAACGUUAUUUAAAAAUAAAUUGCACUCAAAUUAUAUUAUAAUAUUCAAAUUGUUUCUGGAUUUUAUAAUUUUUAUCGUCGUUUUAUUUUUUAUUAUUAAUUAUUGCACAUUUCUCAUAAAGUUUAUUCGAAAAUUUAGAAAAAAAUAUUAAAUCCAACAAUAUUACGCUUUCGAAAUAUAAUAUAAUAUUAACAAUUUUUAAGAAAUUAAAAACUGCGUAUUUUAAAACGUUUUUAUUGCGUUAUUACAAUUUUUUUUUUAUAUAUUUCGAAACUAAUUUCUCAAUAUACGCGUGGGGGCAUUUAUUAUAACGUUUCGAAAACGGUUCGUAUUUUAUUAUUUUUUAAUUAAACAAAAAGUUAAAACCCAGUUAAAUUAAAGGGUCCUGGACUAAAAAAUGGGCGUUAUAAUAAAAAAUUUAAAAUAUAAGAAAUAAUAUUUAAAAAAUAACAUAUCCCCAAUAAUUAUAAAUAUAAAUUAUUAAAAUUCGAAAGUUUUACACAAAUAUUUAAAUUUAUUAAGAAAUAACAGGAUUGGAUAAUAUAUUUGUUUUUUAAUUUUCAAAUUAUUGAUUAUGCAAAAAAAUAAAAUUUUAUUAACGGGUUAUUAAAAUAACCUAAAUACAAAACAUUUAUUAUUUAAAAUAAUAUUAUAUUUUAACUCUAAAAAUAUUAUUAAUUCGGAUUUGAAAUAAAAAGAAAUUGCUUGAUUUCCGUUUUUUUAGAAAUAUUUCGCAAUUUAGAUUGGUUAUUUUACUUUUUCAAUAAAUUAUAUAUACGAAUAUAUAUAAUUAUUAGCGGGAAAACAAAAAAUAUAAUAAACGAAAAACGUUUUUAUUAUAUAUAUUUAAAACCAAUUUAAAAUCUAAUUGAAAAUUUGCAAUAAAAUAAUAGAAAAUAACUAUAAUUUGGGAAAAAAAUAUAAAACAAUUGAAUUAUAUCAAAUAAUUUUUUUACUACAACCUAAAAUUAUACGUACUAAUAAAUAAUAACGUAAAAAAAUAUUUUUAAAAUUUCAUUAUAAUAAUUUAUAUAUUAAAUAUCGGGAAAUCGCCAAAAUUUCAAAAUUAAUUCUAAAAAAGUAUUACUGGUAAUAAAUAAAAAAUAAUAUUAAUU